rnacentral:misc_RNA from 1 species
GAUGAAGAACGCAGCGAAAUGCGAUAAGUAAUGUGAAUUGCAGAAUUCAGUGAACCAUCGAAUCUUUGAACGCACAUUGCGCCCGGCAGUAAUCUGCCGGGCAGGCCUGUCCGAGCGUCAUUUCUCCCCUCGAGCGCAGCUUUCCCCCCCGGGGGAGGGCCGCGCCCGGUGUUGCGGCGCUACGGAGGAGCCCAGCGCUCCCCCGUAGGCCCCGAAAUGUAGUGGCGGUCCCGCCGCGGCGCCCCCUGCGUAGUAGUUUUACAACUCGCAUCGGGUCCCGGCGGAGGCCAGCCGUCAGACCCCCCAACUUCAAUAGUUUGACCUCGGAUCAGGUAGGGUUACCCGCUGAACUUAAGCAUAUCAAUAAGCGGAGGA